rnacentral:misc_RNA from 1 species
UUGUAGCCCCGAUUGCAGCUUUGUCUGAGCUCAUUUUGGGAUUCGGCGGCGGCUUUUGCCGCCGCCGAAUCCCAAAAUAGCGAGUGCGGAAAGCGGGAAAAAGC